UACUAUAUAGAGUUCAAGUGGGCAAAAGCAUUAAAGAAAAACAUGGCCAAGAUCGUCUCUCUUUUCAUCAUAACCUUCCUAACAUUUUCCGGCCACAUGCUGGCCCGGCCGGAGCCCCAGUUUGCCGACGUCACUCCCAUUGAAAUACACUGCAAGGGUGAUGAUCAAGUAGAGAAAGCAGGCGGAGAAGCAGAAGACGAAUUGUUGAUGAGAGGUACGCUUGAGGCUCAUAUUGACUAUAUCUACACGCAGAAACAGAAGCAGCCUUGAUCAUUUUUUUUCUAACACGUGGAAUAUUAUUUAUAUGUAUAAAUACAUGUCACAUAUCUUAAAUUUUGUAAUAGUAUCAUAUUUUUAGUUAAUUUCUUGAUCAAAAUAGAGAAUCAGUCUUGUAUUAUGUAGUGUACUCUGUUUAGUGUUUAUAUACAUAUAUAAGUUGAGAUUUAGAUGUUAGAAGAGUUGACUGGUGUAAUACGACAGUUAUUAAAAUAGUGAUCUCUAUUUAUAAUUUA